UUAGAGUUUGAUCCUGGCUCAGAGUGAACGCUGGCGGCGUGCUUAACACAUGCAAGUCGAACGGUAGCAGGAUAGUGCUUGCACUAUUGNUGACGAGUGGCGCACGGGUGAGUAAUGUAUAGGUGACGUGCCCCCUAGUCUGGGAUAGCCACUGGAAACGGUGAUUAAUACCGGAUACUCCUGUUCGCAGGGAAAGUUUUUCGCUAGGGGAUCGGCCUAUAUCGUAUCAGCUUGUUGGUGAGGUAACGGCUCACCAAGGCUAUGACGGGUAUCUGGUUUGAGAGGAUGAUCAGACACACUGGAACUGAGACACGGUCCAGACUCCUACGGGAGGCAGCAGUGGGGAAUAUUGGACAAUGGGCGCAAGCCUGAUCCAGCAACGCCGCGUGGAGGAUGAAGGUCUUCGGAUUGUAAACUCCUUUUAAGAGGGAAGAUAAUGACGGUACCUCUUGAAUAAGCACCGGCUAACUCCGUGCCAGCAGCCGCGGUAAUACCGGAGG
rnacentral:rRNA from 1 species